GAUGAAGAACGUAGCGAAAUGCGAUAAGUAAUGUGAAUUGCAGAAUUCAGUGAAUCAUCGAAUCUUUGAACGCACAUUGCGCCCAUUAGUAUUCUAGUGGGCAUGCCUGUUCGAGCGUCAUCUCAACCCUUAAGCCUAGCUUAGUAUUGGGAAUCGACUUUACUGUCGUUCCUCAAAUUCAACGGCGGAUUUAUAGCAAUCUCUGAACGUAGUAAUUUUUUUCCUCGUUUUUGAAAUACUAUAAACCUCAGCCGCUAAACCCCCAAUUUUUUUAUGGUUGACCUCGGAUCAGGUAGGAAUACCCGCUGAACUUAAGCAUAUCAAUAAGCGGAGGA
rnacentral:misc_RNA from 1 species